AUCACAUGUUCGAUAAAAACAUCACAUAGAAUAGAUAGAACAUUGGACGAUUGAAACAUAAACGCCUCGCAGAUCAGGUGGAUACAGUCAAUACUUGGAAAUAGACAAUCAGUUGAUCUUGCAAAUUCAGAAAAUCGUGCAUAUGCAAAAAGGAAAGGACAAACCCAAACCAGUUCAAUAAGACAGGUACCAACUGGUAUUUUUCACAAAGUGGUCAAUGUUAUGAAAAUACAAUAAUCCUUACAAUUUUAUUGUUAACACAGAAACAAAAUAAUUAAAACUGCAAACUCUUAAUUACAUCCUCUUCACUCGAUUCGAUAUUUUCGAUUUAUUUUUCGAUUAAGUUACUACAAGAAAUGGCAUUAUAUCAUAAUAUUAUUUAUUGUUGCUUUUACUAUUGACAUUAUUUUUAUAUUCCCAAGUACCUGAUACUCCUUUAACAUCCAGAUUAAUAAUGUAACUUAACUGAACUAUUCCAACUUAUUGUAAUAUAAAUAUUUUUUUCAUUUCGACAAA